rnacentral:rRNA from 1 species
AGAACGAACGCUGGCGGCAUGCCUAACACAUGCAAGUCGAACGAGACCUUCGGGUCUAGUGGCGCACGGGUGCGUAACGCGUGGGAACCUGCCUUUAGGUUCGGAAUAACUCAGAGAAAUUUGAGCUAAUACCGGAUAAUGUCUUCGGACCAAAGAUUUAUCGCCUUUAGAUGGGCCCGCGUAAGAUUAGCUAGUUGGUGGGGUAAAGGCCUACCAAGGCGACGAUCUUUAGCUGGUCUGAGAGGAUGAUCAGCCACACUGGGACUGAGACACGGCCCAGACUCCUACGGGAGGCAGCAGUGGGGAAUAUUGGACAAUGGGCGAGAGCCUGAUCCAGCAAUGCCGCGUGAGUGAUGAAGGCCUUAGGGUUGUAAAGCUCUUUACCCGAGAUGAUAAUGACAGUAUCGGGAGAAUAAGCUCCGGCUAACUCCGUG